UACAGAGGGGGCAAGCGUUGUUCGGAAUUACUGGGCGUAAAGGGCGCGUAGGCGGCCUUCUAAGUCGAACGUGAAAUCCCCGGGCUCAACCCGGGAACUGCGUCCGAUACUGGAAGGCUUGAAUCCGGGAGAGGGAUGCGGAAUUCCAGGUGUAGCGGUGAAAUGCGUAGAUAUCUGGAGGAACACCGGUGGCGAAGGCGGCGUUCUGGACUGCUACUGACACUGAGGAACGAAAGCCAGGGGAGCAAACGGG
rnacentral:rRNA from 1 species